rnacentral:rRNA from 1 species
AUGCAACUUGUCCUAGCCCGGCGGUGCCACCUGGUACUCGCUCUGUUCCUCCUGCUGCAGCAGGCCGUGGCUUGCUCGGCCGCCGCCGCCGCCGGCAGCAACAACGAGACGGACCGCGCCGCUCUGCUGGCGUUCAAGCACGCCGUCUCUGGAGGCGGCCGCGCCGGCCCGCUGAGCUCCUGGAACGACUCCUUGCCCUUCUGCCGGUGGCGUGGCGUCUCGUGUCACGCUGGCAAUGGCAGAGUGACCGCGCUGGUGCUCGCGUCGGCGCGUCUCACCGGCGCUAUCCCUCCGGCACUCGGGAACCUCACCUUCCUCUCGUCUCUUCAGCUGCCGGACAACGGGCUAACGGGGGAGAUACCUACGUCCGUCGGCGGUUUGCGGCGCCUCCGCAGGCUGAACCUCUCCGGCAACCAGCUCCGUGGGGCCAUCCUGGCAGAGGCGGCCCUGCUCACAAACCUGACGCACCUCAACCUGUCGCGCAAUCUGCUCGUCGGCCGUAUCCCGCCCGGGCUCGGCCGUCUCGGCGGUGCGCUGGUAAAUCUGGACCUCUCCAGGAACCAACUCACUGGGAGCAUACCGACCUCCCUCGCCGGGCUGCCGUGGUUGCAGCGGAUCCGCCUUGGGAACAACAACCUCACCGGCAGCAUACCACCGCUGUUCGCCAACAUGACGGCCCUCCUCGGAUUCACCUUCAAGUACAACUACCUUGACGGUAGCCUGCCGGAGGACAUAGGCCAGUCCUCUUGUCGGCGAGCUCCCGGCGUCUAUCUACAACGUCACCUCCAUCAGGAUGAUCGAGCUGUCUUACAACUCAAUAUCGGGGAGGCUCCGCCACGACAUCGGAGACUCGGUCCCGGAGCUCUACUUCCUCAGCAUGUUCGGCAACGAGCUCGUCGGACGGAUACCAGCGAGCCUGGCGAACGCGUCGAAGAUGCAGACCAUCAACCUGGGCGAGAACAACCUCGUCGGCGUGGUGCCCGCGGACCUUGGCGAACUCAGGGAGCUCCUCCAUCCCACCUGAGCUUCAACAUGCUGCACGCCAGCACACCUGGCGAGUGGCAGUUCGUGGAUGCCCUGACGAAUUGCAGCAAGCUGCGUGUGCUCCACAUGUUCCACAGCGAUCUCUCCGGCCAGCUGCCGGCGUCGGUUGCCAACCUGUCGACGGAGCUCGCGUGGCUGGACUUGUCGUACAACCGGAUAUCUGGGACCAUCCCCUCCGGUAUCGGCAAGCUGAGGGGUCUGACAACGCUCCGAUUCCAGGCCAACAACUUGUCCGGGGUCAUCCCGGAGUCGACGGGCCUUCUAACUGGCAUGUUUGAGAUGCUCGUCUUCGGGAACCGGCUGACCGGCACGAUUCCGUCGUCGCUCGGCAACCUCACCAAGCUGACGCAGCUGGAGCUGAGCGAAAACGAGCUCGUUGGCGAGGUGCCGCCGAGCUUAGCGGGUUGCCGCAGCCUCGCCUACCUGAGUGUCGGCGGGAAUCGGCUCACUGGGACCAUUCCAGCUCAGGUUUUCACCAUACCGGCAAUGUCCUACAUCCUAAACAUGUCCAACAACUUCAUUUCCGGCGAGGUGCCACCGGAGGUUGGCCGCCUUCAGAGUCUCCAAACCUUGGAUCUCUCCAAUAACAGAUUGACUGGUGCGAUCCCCGCGACGAUAGGCCAGAGUCAGAUGCUUCAGAGGUUAUAUCUCCAAGGCAACCUGCUCCGCGGUGGCAUCUUGCCGUCGUCAUUCGGGAGCCUCAAGGGCCUGGAGGAGCUGGACAUGUCCCGCAACAACCUGUCCGGCGAGUUCCCACGCUUUCUGCAAGACCUACGGUACCUGCGUCUCCUGAACCUGUCCUUGAACCUUCUCGCCGGUGAGGUGCCGGUCAAGGGAGUCUUCACCAACGCGACGGCCGUCCACCUCACCGGGAAUGGGGGCAUUGGGGAAUUGGGCCGGCGAGGAAUAAAGGUAAAUCGCUUGCUCUGA